CAAUAGGUGGUUUAAAUUUAAAAUUCCGGUUUUGGGGACCGGGGAUGUGAGUUUGAGUCUCUCCCUUUUGA
rnacentral:tRNA from 2 species